AUACACCAAAAAUAACACCCCUACCUAAAAGCUUUGGUUCCGAUGAACCUGGCAAAGUCCGUGAGCGCUUUCCCUUUCAUCAUUGAAGUCACACCUGAUACAACGGCCCAUCUAUGGCAAGUCAAUGAGCACUUUCCCUCUCAUAAUUGAAGCCAUCGACCCCUUUAGUAUGUGACAUCACCCUCUAGUCAUGCAAUUUUGGCCUUCCCAAGUCAAUAUUUCAGAUCCAACGGCUUUAAAAUCAUACCCUUACACAGAAAAGACUUGGUGGACUGGCGUUGACUGUUGGUUCUGUACUGCAGUAACCGUGUUUCUUGUGGGUAGCCAUGGAUAUGCAGGGCAAAUGAAAGCACAAUAAGUAAUCCUCAAAUUUUCACUUCUUUCCAUCCCAGUGGAUUAGUUAUAUUCUUCAAAUUAACCAAUGGAGAUAAGCGGGGAAGCGGACUCUGACAAGGCCAUUGUAGACGCGGUAACGCGUCGUAUUCGUGAAAAGCUUGAAAUGCUUAUAUCCUAUGUACGCUCUCCUAGUUGCGUUUUCCAAGUGCCUAAUCAUCUACGAAGCGUUAAUGAUGAUCCAUAUGAACCGCAGAUUGUUGCAAUUGGUCCUCUUCACCACGGUAAACCUCAUUUAAUUGCCAUGGAAGAGCACAAAAUACGAUAUCUCCAAAGCUUCCUUCGAGGAGGAGAUAAGAAUGACGUAUCAAGGUAUGUCCAGCUCAUAAGAGGGUUAGAAGAAAGUGCUCGUAAAUGUUAUGCAGAACCCUUGCACCUUUCUGAAGAUGAAUUUGUAGCAAUGAUGCUUCUUGAUGGUUGCUUUAUUAUUGAGUUUAUAUGGAAAAAUUUUGAAACUACUGUACAAGACCCUCUUUUUGGGUCGAUUCAUAUGUGGAAUAGGUUAAAGCUGGACCUGUUAUUACUUGAAAAUCAACUUCCAUUCUUCAUACUUAACAAGUUGCUUGUCACGAGCAAUAUCAAUGUGAUUCCAAACCCUGCAGAGAGCACCUUCAUUAAAAUGAUUUUGUCGGCCUAUGAGACAUAUCUACCAGGCCCUGGGUAUAAGCCAGAUCAAAAUCACUUGUACACUCGAGGAGAUGAUGCAAACCAAGAAUCUGCUGGGAUUACUGCAUGACCACUGGAAGCCUUCCCCUGAGAGAAUGGAUGCUUAUUUGGAAGGGAGAGAAAAUAUGAAAAGAUUUACACGCUGUGCCACAGAGCUCAAAGAGUCAGGGAUUAAGUUCGAGAGUUUAGAGGGAUGUAACUUGUUCGAUAUAAAGUUUGAGAAAGGAAUAAUCAAAAUCCCAAAAAUAACAAUUGAAGAUGGAACAGAGUGUGUCUUGCGAAAUCUCAUUGCAUAUGAGCAGUUAACUUCUUCCCGAAGUCCAUACUUCACUGAUUAUAUGGUAUUCAUCGAUAGCCUCAUCGAUUCUGCAAAAGAUGUGGAGAUACUUUGUUGCCAGGGGAUCAUUGAGAACUGGAAGGGUGACGAUGACACCAUUGCUAUUCUAUUGAACAAGAUUGGGGAACAAGUCUUCUGCAAUAGGGCUCUCUACGCUGAUAUACAGAAAAAUGUAGACAAACAUUGCAAAAGGCAAUGGAAUCAGUGGAUGGCCAAGUUAAGGCACGAUUAUUUUAAUAGCCCAUGGGCUCUCAUUUCUGUUUUGGCAGCUGCAAUUCUGCUCCUUCUCACCUGGACUCAAACUGUGUAUUCAGUUCUUUCUUAUUAUAAAUAAAUGCCUUUCUGAUUCAUGUUGUCAUGCACGAAAGCUCAUGUACUAAAAGUGUGUAGUUCCUAUCAUACAUGUUUGCUAAAAAGUUGAUUAAGUAAAGUCUGGUUUAAGAGCAUAUAUAUUUGUUGUGAGCUACUUCUAUAACUGUUCACUUUUUCAUUAGCAUAUAAGA
rnacentral:misc_RNA from 1 species